rnacentral:rRNA from 1 species
UACGGAGGGUGCGAGCGUUAUCCGGAUUCACUGGGUUUAAAGGGUGCGUAGGUGGGAAUGUAAGUCAGUGGUGAAAUCUCUGAGCUUAACUCAGAAACUGCCAUUGAUACUAUGUUUCUUGAAUUUUCUGGAGGUCAGCGGAAUAUGUCAUGUAGCGGUGAAAUGCUUAGAUAUCGGGAGGAACACCAGUGGCGAAAGCGGCUACCUGGCCCAUUCUUGACGCUGAGGCGCGAAAGCUAGGGGAGCAAACGGG